rnacentral:rRNA from 1 species
AACGAACGCUGGCGGCAUGCCUAACACAUGCAAGUCGAACGAGACCUUCGGGUCUAGUGGCGCACGGGUGCGUAACGCGUGGGAACCUGCCCUUAGGUUCGGAAUAACUCCCCGAAAGGGGUGCUAAUACCGGAUAAUGUCUUCGGACCAAAGAUUUAUCGCCUUUGGAUGGGCCCGCGUUGGAUUCGCUAGUUGGUAGGGUAAAAGCCUACCAAGGCGACGAUCCAUAGCUGGUCUGAGAGGAUGAUCCGCCACGCUGGGAAUGAGACACGGCCCAGACUCGUACGGGAGGCAGCAGUGGGGAGUAUUGGACGAUGGGCGAAGGCCUGAUACAGCAAUGCCGGGUGAGUGAUGAAGGCCUUAGGGUUGUAAAGCUCUUUUACCCGGGAUGAUAAUGACAGUACCGGGAGAAUAAGCUCCGGCUAACUCCGUG